rnacentral:rRNA from 1 species
AGUGAACGCUGGCGGUAGGCCUAACACAUGCAAGUCGAACGGCAGCACAGUAAGAGCUUGCUCUUACGGGUGGCGAGUGGCGGACGGGUGAGGAAUACAUCGGAAUCUACUUUUUCGUGGGGGAUAACGUAGGGAAACUUACGCUAAUACCGCAUACGACCUACGGGUGAAAGCAGGGGAUCUUCGGACCUUGCGCGAUUGGAUGAGCCGAUGUCGGAUUAGCUAGUUGGCGGGGUAAAGGCCCACCAAGGCGACGAUCCGUAGCUGGUCUGAGAGGAUGAUCAGCCACACGGGAACUGAGACACGGUCCAGACUCCUACGGGAGGCAGCAGUGGGGAAUAUUGGACAAUGGGCGCAAGCCUGAUCCAGCCAUACCGCGUGGGUGAAGAAGGCCUUCGGGUUGUAAAGCCCUUUUGUUGGGAAAGAAAAGCAGCAGGUUAAUACCCCGCUGUUCUGACGGUACCCAAAGAAUAAGCACCGGCUAACUUCGUG